UUUUUUUUUUGAGAAAAGGUCUUGCUGUGUAGCUCAGCUUCAUAAGUGUGUCAGUACAAUCAGCUCCCAGCUUCCAAGAACUCUCUUUUCUCCCAGCCUGCGGCAUCCUCUUUCCGUAAAGUGAAAUAUAACAACAACAACAACAAAAGGUGGCAAAGAGGCCAGGGUGCAGAAACAUUCCAGGCUUAAGGGCCUGCAUUUGUGUGGGUCCUGGGGCACCGGGGACUGAGCAUACCUCUGAUCACACUUCCCUGUGGCUUCUCAGCUUAAGGAAACAGAUGAGUGACAAGACCCCUAACCCUGGUCUUGUUGACAGCCUGAUGACCGGUGGUUCAGCUCCCUGUUCUGCAGGUCCUGUGAUGGAUUAAAAACACCCCAAUCUGCUUCUGGACUUCUCCACAAGCGUGCAGCGUGUGUCCCCCUCCAAAAACCCCCUCCCCAACUCCUUUCCCGCUCUCUGCAUGGGCUUAGGAAAAUGGAGUUGCACCUGUGCUAGCAGCCUGCCUGCCGAGAGGCAUUUUCCCCUCUGUUGCCUGGGCGAUUGUGGCUCCACACCUGCAAGCAGCUUUCUUUUCUUCUCCCUCUCCAAAUCAAACCUUUGGAGCCACCUAGGAGAUUUGGGCGUGUCCAUACUGGAUUAAUUGAAGUGGUAACAUACACUACAAAUGUGGUGAUCAUCAUUCUGUGGGCUAUGAUUCCAGACUGAAUAAAAAGAAGGAAGUGAGCUGAGCACCAGCAUCCGUCUACGUCUGCUUCCUGUUUGUGGGUACAAUGUGACAUGUGACAGGAUGUAUCAAGCUCCUGCCACUGCAACUUCCCUGCCUUGAUGUACCCAACUCUCAAACUGAUAUGUCCACUUACAGGCCCCCAUUGCUCCAAUAGAGAAAAGUACUUCUGCUGAUUUUCUCAACUUAACAGAAAUCCAGCCAUCCUUCAAACAAUCUAUUUCAGAGGCCCAGAUACCACUGUAAAUUCCAGCAGUUAGCAUGUGACCUGAAAUGUUCCCAGAAAUACUCACAUAGAAGCAGCAAUGCAGUGGUCUUGUCAUGACUGCUGGUAGAGGAGCAUUACCCAGAACCCUUCCUUCAGGGUCCAUGGACUUGGCUGUGUAUUUGGGGCCUCAGAAGCUGGAAGUCACAGGAUUGCAGCUCUGGCCCUUGGAUGAGCCCUCACCUGGAGUCUCUACCUGAACUGACUGGUUUUCCACAUGUGUCCCUUCCUUGCUAGAGGAGGCCAUCUGUCUGUACUAUCAGAAGUUGUGCUCACUAGUGGAAAUCAAAAGGGUGAUUCCAGAGCAACUUCCAAGGUUGGGAAGUGCCUUGCUGUUGAGGGUUCAGCUCUGCAGGGAAAAGAAGGGCCUUUCCAGCUACUUUCCCCAACGGGACACAAAGGCACAAAGGAGAAGAAUGUCCCCUAGAUCCUGCCCUCAAUCUGUCAUCUCUACUCCAAACCUCACAGCCUCCUGAUCUUCACAACCAAAAUACAGUGUGGUGUUAAAGAACCUGAAACAUGAAAAUAGAGCUAAGUUCUAUGCUAGUCCACCAGCAAAGCCUAGGUGCUCAGGAACACCCAGCAUGGUCUCCCCAUACACCCAGAAUGGUCUCCCCAUACACCCAGCAUGGUCUUCCCAUACACCCAGCAUGGUCUCCCCAUACACCCAGCAUGGUCUCCCCAUAUACACCCAAUGGGUCACUCACUGCUCCUCAUGUACACACAAUGGGGCAGUCACUAGCGAGUCUUGGUUUAGGAUAGUACUUUGACACUGUUAGGAGAAAACAAAUGACAACUAUUUACAUUUGAAGGAUCUGUAAAUUUUGUACAAAUGCUAAAAUGAAUGCUGCAUGUGGAUAGAUUUUUGCAAAACUGGGGAAAGAAGCCAGGUUCUUGCACACACUAGGCAAGGCUCUCCUGAACUAAACCCCAGCCCCUUCUUCACUUUUUUAUUUUGAUGCAAGGUCUCACUAAGUUUUCCAGGCCAGCCAUGAACUCACAAUCCUCCUGCCUCAGUAGCCGGUGUUAAGACAUCCUCAGUUUGAGGUGGAAUGGUCAGUAAGAGGCUGCUCCAUUGUAUUUUGUGCGUUUUCUGGAUAGUUUGAAUCUGACAGUUGUUUAUGGUAUUUUUGCAGAGAAUCAGACAGAACUGAAAAAAAGAUUCUUCAGCAUCUUUUCCCAUCACCAUGCCGGGUUUCUGCUGUAAAUACCUCUAGUGGGCUUGUGUGCAUGCACGCACAUGCGCACACACACACACCAACACAUGCAUGCACUCACACACUGCUGUUGAUGAGUGGAAUAUAGGGUAUCCCCCUCAAGUUCACAUUUUUUAGUAGUUGGUCCUAAGCUGGAAGGAAGGAGGUUGUAGAGCUUUUAGGAGGUAGGGCUUUUAGGAGGUAGGCGGUGGGGCCUUCCUGGAGAAGCAGUUCACUGGGAUGACUCUCUAGGGGUAUAUUGUCCUUUGUUCCUUAUGUCAUUUCCUCCCUCCACUUCCCAACUGCUGCAGUGUCACCUGCUGCCUCAUAUUCUGGCCAACCUGGAUUGAGCCACUGCUCCAUGCAUAUCUUGUCCACUACAAUGAACUGAAGUUCCCCGAAACUGUGAGACAAAAGAAACCCUUCCUCCCUUAGGUUGCUUCUGUCAGAAUUUUAUUUACAGUGAUGAGAAGGUGACCUUUGCAGGUCUGGGGACCAGCCUAACCUCUGCUACUACUUUACCUCCGGAUAAUGAGAGACCUUCCCAUGGGUAGAAGAGUGAAUCAUACACACAGCAGGUAUCACAGACAGUGAAUCACUCCUAACAGGCAGGGGUCUCUCAUCACUUUUCUGUUUGUUUUGUGUUUUUGAGAUGGAAGUCUAAUGUUGCCCAAGUUAGUUUUGAAAUGAACCUACUGCCUCCACCUCAAGGGCUGAGAGCAGAGAGAAUACCCCAUUUCUCAUAGCGUUUAACUAUCUUUUAUCUUCUCAGAAUUUCAUGUAUUCUCUCCCUGGUUUUUAUAUCUCAGGGAAUUUUCCUGAGUUCAUCAACACAUCAUCGGUUGUGAGAACACCAGCAGAGGUGAAUACCCAGGAAAUCCAGUUCAAUUCUGUCAUUUUGUGGAAACCAGGUCUCAGAGGCGUUGAGCAAUUCACCUAAAUUCACACAGCUUCCUAGUGGUAGGCAUGCCACCUACACUUAGCCCCUAAGCUGCCUAUUUUCAUCACAUCAUUAGGCUUGGCAAUAAUGCAGAAUCUGUUUUCUCAAAAGGGGCAGACAUGUCUUCCUUAAGGGGAAAGAGCUUCUCCUGGGACUUUAAAAUCCUUUGUCAGAGGUGAUAUCUUCUAGUUCUGAGAAAGGGAAAGGCUGACUCAUCUUGGCUCAGUGACUCUGCUUCAGCUACAACUUUUGUACUGACCCCCCUUUCCUUUGUAAGGAAAGGGUUCCCUAGUCACCAGCCUCGGAGUCAGGAAGAUCUGAGUUCAAAACCAUGCUCAAAUCAACUGUGACCCUUAAGCCCCUGAGCUGUGCAAUGGCAGAGUAAGACCUGUUUGUUGGGUACAUUUGAGAAUGUGGGCUACUGACACCUCAUACAUGGCUGGUGUAGGCUAACACUUCACACAUGGCUGGUAUGGGCUCUGACACAUCACAGUGGGCUACUUGGAUGGUGGGAAGAUCUGAAUCCAUUUUUCUGGAAGCCGUUGUCUAUGUCUUCUGGAGUCCCACAGCAAGGCAAGAAGACAAUGCCUGUGACUGCUCUCAUAGGGUCACCAUAGUUACCAUUUGGCCAUUUUCAAAGUCCCUAAGAUACAUGGGGAAACAGCUUAUGCCUGUAACUCCAACACUGGGAAGUUGCCUCAGAAGUUCAGGAGUUCAAGGUUAGCCUAGAGUAGGGAGACCAAGUCUGAAAAAGUGAAAAGAAAACUAUCUGUAUAUGGGUGUGUAUGUAUAUGAGUAUAGUAAAGCAAAUAAAAGCAUGGUUCUGGGA